CCAGGACUACUUGGACAGCAAGGAUCCCCUGGGCCAUCUGGAGUGGUGGGCAUACCAGGACUGCCAGGCCACAAAGGGGACAAAGGUGAACGAGGUCGACCAGGCAUAACUGGACCCAAAGGAGAAGUGGGACAAAGAGGAGUCACAGGGUUUCCUGGUGCAGAUGGAGUUCCUGGUCAUCCUGGUCAGGCAGGAUCAAGAGGAAAACCAGGCCAUGAUGGUUGCAAUGGGACCAAGGGGGAUCCUGGUCCACAGGGAAUUCAGGGAUCUGGAGGCACUCCUGGUUCUUU